rnacentral:rRNA from 1 species
GACGAACGCUGGCGGCGUGCUUAACACAUGCAAGUCGAACGGAAAGGCCUGUCCUUCCUUGUGUUGGACGGGUACUCGAGUGGCGAACGGGUGAGUAACACGUGAGUGAUCUGCCCCCAACUUGGGUAUAAGCCUGGGAAACUGGGUCUAAUUCCCGAUAGGACUGCAGGGUGGUGCCUGUGGUGGAAAACGAUUUUCUAGUGGUUGGGGAUGAGCUCGCGGCCUAUCAGCUUGUUGGUGGGGUAAUGGCCCACCAAGGCGGCGACGGGUAGCCGGCCUGAGAGGGUGGACGGCCACAUUGGGACUGAGAUACGGCCCAGACUCCUACGGGAGGCAGCAGUGGGGAAUAUUGCACAAUGGGCGGAAGCCUGAUGCAGCGACGCCGCGUGGGGGAUGACGGCCUUCGGGUUGUAAACUCCUUUCGACCGCGAGGAAGCCGCCUGGUUGGAAGGGUGGUGACGGUAGUGGUAGAAGAAGCACCGGCUAACUACGUG